AUCUGUGUAAAGGUGAAGGUCGCGCUGUCAUUCCUCAACGUUUCGCUAAGUUUUUGCUUUAUAUUUUUAUUUUUAAAGAUUUAUGGUAAGACCAAAUGGAGGUGACUGAACGUUUCAUCAUGGGAGUCUGAAGUCUGACAGGAGUUUAAACCUAAACAUGUUUUGAAAUCUAGGAAUGUCAGCUCCAUAAAUAGAUGCCUUCACAGAUUGAGAAAGAAAGGAGAAACAAGCAACAGUUUGGGGAAGGCCCUUUACUGUUCAGCAACAACAAGGCAUCCUCAAAAAGGUAACAGCUUUGCAGAUGGCCACAGACAGUUACUCUCUCCGUAUCCUUUCUGACUGAUUUGUCUCUAGUUUUGCAUUUGUGUCCUUGUCACUGCUGGUAUCAAGAGGGGUACCUGCAGCCCGUUUAGGCUGCACAGGUAGUUCAAUUCUUUCAAGAUGGCAAAUCCAUAUGUACCAUCGGAAAAAGGUUUGAAGAGCAUGGGGGAGAUACCAGGACACAAGCCGUUACACACAGAGAGCUGGACAGGGCUGUAGAAAGGCAUCAACCCAGAACUAGGACUGCUAUCUGCUCGUAUGUGUGAGGAGGAACAGGAGGCACUGCCAGAGCCCUUUAAAAUAACUGCCAUAGAACACAGCACUGUGCCAAAAACGGUGCACCGUCACAGAACACCAGAACUGGAGGCUUUUUGGAGUGUGUUACAAGCAUCAAAUGCAAAAUGUGUUAAUAUUUACAAAAUUCCAUGAAGUUGCCCAGUGAAAACAUUGAAAAUCUUCUUUUUGUCAAUUAAAUAAAAAAUUCAAGAGAAAUAACAAA